rnacentral:rRNA from 1 species
GUGAACAGGCAAGAGCUCAGAUUUGAAAGGCACUUUUGUGCCGUUGUAUUCUGAAGUUAGGGUCCUGAGAAACGAUGCUUAAGUCUUCUGGAAAGGAGCGCCAUGGAGGGUGAUAGCCCCGUCUAGCAUUGACCUCAUAUAGGAUCUUAACAUGGAGUCGAGUUGUUUGGGAAUGCAGCUCAAAUGGGUGGUAUGCUCCAUCUAAAGCUAAAUAUCUGCGAGAGACCGAUAGUAAACAAGUACUGUGAGGGAAAGAUGAAAAGAACUUUGAAAAGAGAGUGAAAAAGUACGUGAAAUUGUUGAAAUGGAAGGGUAGGCCGCUAACCAUGUAGAGCCGUGUUUGGGGGGAAGAUAAAUGCUGUAGAAUGUAGCUCCUCGGAGUAUUAUAGAUGCAGUUCAUAUUCCCACCCGAGCGCGAGGAUCUCAGGUUCUACUAAAUGGUGGUCUACCACMCGUCUUGAAACACGGACCCAAUGMCMUUUAGUAGAACCUGAGAUCCUCGCGCU